ACGGAGGGUGCGAGCGUUGUCCGGAAUCACUGGGCGUAAAGGGCGCGUAGGUGGCGCGAGAAGUCAACGGUGAAAGCUCGUCGCUUAACGACGAGUCGGCCGUCGAUACUCUUGUGCUCGAGCACUGUAGAGGCAGAUGGAAUUCCGGGUGUAGCGGUGGAAUGCGUAGAGAUCCGGAAGAACACCGGUGGCGAAGGCGGUCUGCUGGGCAGUUGCUGACACUGAGGCGCGACAGCGUGGGGAGCAAACAGGA
rnacentral:rRNA from 1 species